rnacentral:rRNA from 1 species
UACGGAAGGCAGCAGUGGGGAAUAUUGCACAAUGGGCGCAAGCCUGAUGCAGCCAUGCCGCGUGUAUGAAGAAGGCCUUCGGGUUGUAAAGUACUUUCAGUCGUGAGGAAGGUGUUAAGGUUAAUAACCUUAGCAAUUGACGUUAGCGACAGAAGAAGCACCGGCUAACUCCGUGCCAGCAGCCGCGGUAAUACGGAGGGUGCGAGCGUUAAUCGGAAUUACUGGGCGUAAAGGGCACGCAGGCGGUUAAUUAAGUUGGAUGUGAAAUCCCGGGCGUUAACCUGGGAAUGGCAUUCAAGACUGGUUAGCUAGAGUCUUGUAGAGGGGGUAGGAAUUCCAUGUGUAGCGGUGAAAUGCGUAGAGAUGUGGAGGAAUACCGGUGGCGAAGGCGGCCCCUCGGACAAAGACUGACGCUCAUGUGCGAAAGCGUGGGGAGCAAACAGGGAUUAGAUACC